CUUGCACCGAGCGGAUGAGUUGCGAACGGGUGAGUAACGCGUAGGUAACCUGCCUCUUAGCGGGGGAUAACUAUUGGAAACGAUAGCUAAUACCGCAUAAAAGUCGAUAUCGCAUGAUAUUGAUUUGAGAGGUGCAAUUGCAUCACUAAGAGAUGGACCUGCGUUGUAUUAGCUAGUUGGUGAGGUAACGGCUCACCAAGGCGACGAUACAUAGCCGACCUGAGAGGGUGAUCGGCCACACUGGGACUGAGACACGGCCCAGACUCCUACGGGAGGCAGCAGUAGGGAAUCUUCGGCAAUGGGGGCAACCCUGACCGAGCAACGCCGCGUGAGUGAAGAAGGUUUUCGGAUCGUAAAGCUCUGUUGUAAGAGAAGAACGAGUGUGAGAGUGGAAAGUUCACACUGUGACGGUAACUUACCAGAAAGGGACGGCUAACUACGUGCCAGCAGCCGCGGUAAUACGUAGGUCCCGAGCGUUAUCCGGAUUUAUUGGGCGUAAAGCGAGCGCAGGCGGUUAGAUAAGUCUGAAGUUAAAGGCUGUGGCUUAACCAUAGUACGCUUUGGAAACUGUUUAACUUGAGUGCAGAAGGGGAGAGUGGAAUUCCAUGUGUAGCGGUGAAAUGCGUAGAUAUAUGGAGGAACACCGGUGGCGAAAGCGG
rnacentral:rRNA from 1 species